GCCUUAGUGGUAGCGGUAAUACAUGCGGCGCUUGGCUGUAGUUCCGGGUUCAACUCCCGGCCAGGGCG